UGAACGCUGGCGGUAGGCCUAACACAUGCAAGUCGAACGGCAGCACAGUAAGAGCUUGCUCUUACGGGUGGCGAGUGGCGGACGGGUGAGGAAUACAUCGGAAUCUACUUUUUCGUGGGGGAUAACGUAGGGAAACUUACGCUAAUACCGCAUACGACCUACGGGUGAAAGCAGGGGAUCUUCGGACCUUGCGCGAUUGAAUGAGCCGAUGUCGGAUUAGCUAGUUGGCGGGGUAAAGGCCCACCAAGGCGACGAUCCGUAGCUGGUCUGAGAGGAUGAUCAGCCACACUGGAACUGAGACACGGCCCAGACUCCUACGGGAGGCAGCAGUGGGGAAUAUUGGACAAUGGGCGCAAGCCUGAUCCAGCCAUACCGCGUGGGUGAAGAAGGCCUUCGGGUUGUAAAGCCCUUUUGUUGGGAAAGAAAAGCAGCAGGUUAAUACCCCGCUGUUCUGACGGUACCCAAAGAAUAAGCACCGGCUAACUUCGUG
rnacentral:rRNA from 1 species